CGGGGAGUAGCGCAGCCCGGUAGCGUACCUGCUUUGGGAGCAGGGGGUCGCGGGUUCAAAUCCCGCCUCCCCGACCA
rnacentral:tRNA from 1 species